rnacentral:tRNA from 1 species
GAGGGUAUAGCUCAAGUGGUAGAGCGCAUGCUUAGCAUGCAUGAGGUCAUGGGUUCAAUCCCCAAUACUGCCA